CCUACGGGUGGCAGCAGUGAGGAAUAUUGGUCAAUGGGCGGAAGCCUGAACCAGCCAAGUCGCGUGAGGGAAUAAGGCCCUACGGGUCGUAAACCUCUUUUGCCGGGGAGCAAGUGCGGGGACGUGUCCCGGCACGGAGAGUACCCGGAGAAAAAGCAUCGGCUAACUCCGUGCCAGCAGCCGCGGUAAUACGGAGGAUGCGAGGGUUAUCCGGAUUGAUUGGGUUAAAAGGGUGCGUAGGCGGGCUUUUAAGUCAGCGGUAAAAAUUCGGGGCUAAACACAGUCCGGCCGUUGAAACUGGGGGCCUUGAGUGGGCGAGAAGAAGGCGGAAUGCGUGGUGUAGCGGUGAAAUGCAUAGAUAUCACGCAGAACCCUGAUUGCGAAGGCAGCCUGCCGGCGCCCUACUGACGCUGAGGCACGAAAGUGCGGGGAUCGAACAGGAUUAGAUACCCCAGUAGUC
rnacentral:rRNA from 1 species